UACAGAGGGUGCAAGCGUUGUUCGGAAUUACUGGGCGUAAAGGGUGUGUAGGCGGUUGGGUAAGUGUGGUGUGAAAUCUCCCGGCUUAACUGGGAGGGUGCGCUACAAACUGUCUGACUAGAGUGUGGGAUGGGAGAGUGGAAUUCCUGGUGUAGCGGUGAAAUGCGUAGAUAUCAGGAGGAACACCGGUGGUGUAGACGGCUCUCUGGACCAUAACUGACGCUGAGACACGAAAGCGUGGGUAGCAAACAGG
rnacentral:rRNA from 1 species